ACACCGACUACAUUAGAUACCCCCGUAGUCCCAGCCGUAAACGAUGCGCGUUAGGUGUAUCGACGACCACGAGUCGUCGAGGUGCCGAAGGGAAACCGUGAAACGUGCCGCCUGGGAAGUACGGUCGCAAGGCUGAAACUUAAAGGAAUUGGCGGGGGAGCACCACAACAGGUGGAGCCUGCGGUUUAAUUGGACUCAACGCCGGAAAUCUCACCGGAUAAGACAGCAGAAUGAUUGCCGGGCUGAAGACUCUGCAUGACUAGCUG
rnacentral:rRNA from 1 species